UCAAAUGAUAGGCUAUUAAUAAGGAUGACAGCUUCUAUCGAGUAUAGGUCACUGUAGGCCAUAUGGGUUGGUUGUUCUCUUAACCAAGGAGUGUGGAGACACUGGUAUGGCAUACAGAUGAGAUGUAAGGGUACAUCAUCAUUGAAUGUGAACAACUUCAGAGUAUUCUACUGUCGAGAAUGUCUCUGAUGGGAUAUAGAUAUAAGUGUCCCUUAGACCUG
rnacentral:lncRNA from 1 species